rnacentral:misc_RNA from 1 species
UCCGGUUUGUCACCGGCAGUCUCCCUAGAGUUCCCGGCCGAACCGCUGGCAACUAGGGACAAGGGUUGCGCUCGUUACGGGACUUAACCCAACAUCUCACGACACGAGCUGACGACAGCCAUGCAGCACCUGUGCGGGGUCCAGCCGAACUGAAGGAUCUCAUCUCUGAGAUCCGCGACCCCCAUGUCAAGGGCUGGUAAGGUUCUUCGCGUUGCGUCGAAUUAAGCCACAUGCUCCGCCGCUUGUGCGGACCCCCGUCAAUUCCUUUGAGUUUUAAUCUUGCGACCGUACUCCCCAGGCGGCGCGCUUAACGCGUUAGCUGCGACACCGAUGGCUGAACCACCAACGUCUAGCGCGCAUCGUUUACGGCGUGGACUAC